rnacentral:rRNA from 2 species
UGCAGUCGAACGCGUCUUGGUUAUUGAUGUUAAGUGCUUGCAUUUAACUGAUUUAACAUUGAGACGAGUGGCGAACUGGUGAGUAACACGUGGGUAACCUGCCCUUGAAGUAGGGGAUAACACUUGGAAACAGGUGCUAAUACCGUAUAACAACCAAAACCACCUGGUUUUGGUUUAAAAGAUGGCUUCGGCUAUCACUUUAGGAUGGACCCGCGGCGUAUUAGCUUGUUGGUAAGGUAACGGCCUACCAAGGCAAUGAUACGUAGCCGACCUGAGAGGGUAAUCGGCCACAUUGGGACUGAGACACGGCCCAAACUCCUACGGGAGGCAGCAGUAGGGAAUCUUCCACAAUGGACGAAAGUCUGAUGGAGCAACGCCGCGUGAGUGAUGAAGGGUUUCGGCUCGUAAAACUCUGUUGUUGGAGAAGAACAGGUGUGAGAGUAACUGUUCACAUCUUGACGGUAUCCAACCAGAAAGCCACGGCUAACUACGUGCCAGCAGCCGCGGUAAUACGUAGGUGGCAAGCGUUGUCCGGAUUUAUUGGGCGUAAAGCGAGCGCAGGCGGUUUCUUAGGUCUGAUGUGAAAGCCUUCGGCUUAACCGGAGAAGUGCAUCGGAAACCAGGAGAC